GAUGGUCCACGUAUGGCAUCAAAAUUUCGUAAAUAUGAAGAGAAAACUCGAAUUGGGCGUACUAUCACCUGGAAUCGUGAUGCAAAUGCAGGUCGUAACAUUCUCUACAAAGGAUGGUGUGCUGUUAUGAAUAUAGAGCUACAUCCAGCAUUUCAACGGCAUGUUCAUAUUUAGAAAUUGAUAUAAUCAUUGUCAUUUUCAGAAUCAACAAACAACACAACGAACAUUGCGUUCUCAUCUGGAUCAAGCGCGGAGCUCUCGGCCGUAAGCCCUGGGUUUUGUGCGGGAUUUCAACGUGGUCCUACAAUUCGCUACAAUUAUGUAGUAACAUAAUUAUACUCUGAAGAUAAUGGGACUUAUGUUAUUGUUCAAAAUCAAAAUGACCCAAUACAUGCACACUGGGGGGAAAAGGACAAACAAUUUUAAAAUUUCCAAUCGGUGAAGCUUCAUGCUGACCAAUGUUUUUCGUUGUAAUUUUGCCCAGGAAAUGAAUCAACUUACAAAAUUCAGUCGUAUUAGAUGGAUCACAAAAUUGUUCUUCGUCUUCGCCGAGAGGGCAUUGAGGAACUCCAUCGCACAAAAGGUCAUUCUCGAUACAUGAACCAUCUUCACAGGUGAAUUGGUUCUCCAAACAUCCUUGUAUUUAUAUGGAAUGUAAUGUAAUGAAAUGAAAAUUCAAUGUAAAGUGUAAAAAGCGAAUGUCAUUAGACAAAUCUUAAGAAUUUCGACAUCCAUAUAUAAUACUAAAUCUGUAUACGUCUAUUCAUUUAUGCGUUGUUAACGAAGAAUUUGAAAACGCAAGGUUUU